GCUUAUGGCCAUAUCAGCCUGAGUACGCCUGAUCUCGGAAGCUAAGCAGGGUCGGGCGGGGUUAGUACUUGGAUGGGAGACCGCCUGGGAAUACCAGGUGCUGUAAGCA
rnacentral:rRNA from 1 species